rnacentral:rRNA from 1 species
AGCAGCCGCGGUAAUUCCAGCUCCAAUAGCGUAUAUUAAAGUUGUUGCAGUUAAAAAGCUCGUAGUUGAAUUUCGGGGUCAGUAGGCUGGUCGUGCCUCCGGUACGUACUGGUCUUACUGAUUCCUCCUUCCUGACGAACCGUAAUGCCAUUAAUUUGGUGUUGCGGGGAAUCUGGACUGUUACUUUGAAAAAAUUAGAGUGUUUAAAGCAGGCUAACGCUUGAAUACAUUAGCAUGGAAUAAUGAAAUAGGACGUUCGAUCUUAUUUUGUUGGUUUCUAGGAUUGACGUAAUGAUUAAUAGGGAUAGUUGGGGGCAUUAGUAUUCAAUUGUCAGAGGUGAAAUUCUUGGAUUUAUUGAAGACUAACUACUGCGAAAGCAUUUGCCAAGGAUGUUUUCAUUAAUCAAGAACGAAAGUUAGGGGAUCGAAGACGAUCAGAUACCGUCGUAGUCUUAACCAUAAACUAUGCCGACUAGGGAUCGGAUGAUGUUAAUUUUUAAUGACUCAUUCGGCGCCUUAC